rnacentral:misc_RNA from 1 species
GAUGAAGAACGCAGCGAAAUGCGAUACUUGGUGUGAAUUGCAGAAUCCCGUGAACCAUCGAGUCUUUGAACGCAAGUUGCGCCCGAAGCCAUUAGGCCGAGGGCACGCCUGCCUGGGCGUCACACGUCGUUGCCCCCCCAUCUACUCCUUCGGGAUUGCGGGGGGCGGAUGAUGGCCUCCCGUGCGCCUCGUCGCGCGGUUGGCAUAAAUGCCAAGUCCUCGGCGACGCACGCCACGACAAUCGGUGGUUGCGAAACCUCGGUUGCCCGUCGUGUGCGGUCGUCGCGCAUCGAGGGCCCGAAAAAAUUGCCGGGCUCCGGCUCGGCUUUCAACGCGACCCCAGGUCAGGCGGGGUUACCCGCUGAAUUUAAGCAUAUCAAUAAGCGGAGGA